rnacentral:rRNA from 1 species
UACGUAGGUGGCGAGCGUUGUUCGGAAUACUGGGCGUAAAGCGCAUGUAGGCGGCAGCGCAAGUCGGGCGUGAAAUCCCACGGCUCAACCGUGGAAGUGCACUCGAAACUGCGCAGCUAGAGUCCUGGAGAGGAAGGUGGAAUGCUUGGUGUAGAGGUGAAAUUCGUAGAUAUCAAGCGGAACACCGGUGGCGAAGGCGGCCUUCUGGACAGUGACUGACGCUGAGAUGCGAAAGCGUGGGGAGCAAACAGGG